ACGUCGGUAGUGCAACGGUUCAGCACGUGCUCCUGGGACGAGUGAGAUCUGGGUUCAAAUCCAGCUGAGGUG